AAUAYGACUCUCGGCAACGGAUAUCUCGGCUCUCGCAUCGAUGAAGAACGUAGCGAAAUGCGAUACUUGGUGUGAAUUGCAGAAUCCCGUGAACCAUCGAGUCUUUGAACGCAAGUUGCGCCCAAGGCCGUUCGGUGGAGGGCACAUCUGCUUGGGCGUUAA
rnacentral:rRNA from 1 species